rnacentral:rRNA from 1 species
CGCCGGCGAGUGGCGAACGGGUGAGUAAUGCAUCGGAACGUACCCAGUAGUGGGGGAUAACUUACCGAAAGGUAAGCUAAUACCGCAUACGCACUGAGGUGGAAAGCAGGGGACCGCAAGGCCUUGCGCUAUUGGAGCGGCCGAUGUCGGAUUAGCUAGUUGGUGGGGUAAAGGCCUACCAAGGCGACGAUCCGUAGCGGGUCUGAGAGGAUGAUCCGCCACACUGGAACUGAGACACGGUCCAGACUCCUACGGGAGGCAGCAGUGGGGAAUUUUGGACAAUGGGCGCAAGCCUGAUCCAGCCAUGCCGCGUGAGUGAAGAAGGCCUUCGGGUUGUAAAGCUCUUUCGGCCGGGAAGAAAUCGUGGUGGCGAAUACCUGCCAUGGAUGACGGUACCGGACUAAGAAGCACCGGCUAACUACGUGCCAGCAGCCGCGGUAAUACGUAGGGUGCGAGCGUUAAUCGGAAUUACUGGGCGUAAAGCGUGCGCAGGCGGUUGUGUAAGACAGGCGUGAAAUCCCCGGGCUCAACCUGGGAACUGCGCUUGUGACUGCACGGCUAGAGUACGGCAGAGGGGGGUGGAAUUCCACGUGUAGCAGUGAAAUGCGUAGAGAUGUGGAGGAACACCGAUGGCGAAGGCAGCCCCCUGGGUCGAUACUGACGCUCACGCACGAAAGCGUGGGGAGCAAACAGGAUUAGAUACCCUGGUAGUCCACGCCCUAAACGAUGUCGACUAGUUGUUGGAGGGGUAAAACCCUUUAGUAACGUAGCUAACGCGUGAAGUCGACCGCCUGGGGAGU